GAUGUUACAGUGUACAGAGGAGGAAGAGAUACAGCGGGUGAAUUUCUCAGCUCUGCUCACAUCUUUCAUCACAACAUUAUGAGAAGGAAUGUUUGUCUAUGAUUGACCAGUUAAUGAACAAACAGAAGUUUGGAGAAGCAUGAAAGUUUGCCAAAAUUACAGGAAUUUGAGUUCAUCAUGUCACCAUACGUCAGCUGAAACAAGAGAAGGAAAGACUGAGCAGUACAGAUCUCUGGCAGUCAAGACAUGCCAGGUUCAAGUUUUAUACAGACUGUACCAUCAAGUUUAGAAAACAUGAAAUUCCUCCAGGGAAAAUUGCUGACUUCUUCAAGCUAACCAAUGGUAAUAAUGUGACGCUUGUUGAGAGUGCGUGUUCAUUCAACAGACUGUUGGUAAAGGACCAAAAUAACAAGAACACAAAACAAGGAAAGAAGGCUUGAGAGCAGAUACUUUCAUUAUUUCCAUGCAUGGAAACUGAAAUGAUGAUGUUCCUUGUGUAGAGAUCAAGACACUUUGUUCCCAAGGUGAUGUGAAAUGGUGCGAAGUUCUGUGUAUGUCUUCUGCCUUCACUCUACUAAACCACUACUGCAUGGAUCUUCAGUAUCUUCAGUUAGUACUGGAACUGUGAUGACACUGAGGAAAUAUUCUACAAUCUUCACCAUGGUUACCAUUGAAUAGGGAUUCUCACAUAGCAAUUGCUGUACAGUGUAAUGCCAGCAUGUAUGUUUUUCUAAGCAAGCGACAGUGUAUCAAGGCAGAAGCUGUGCAUCUGGACAGGUAAGG